rnacentral:tRNA from 1 species
ACCUGGGUGGCUCAGUUGGUUGAGCGUCUGACUUCGGCUCAGGUCAUGAUCUCACAGUUCGUGAGUUCAAGCCCCACGUCGGGCU